GAAAAGUGUGUUUUUUUCUGAGUAUCAAGAAUGAAAUCAAGUAUAUAUUGCAUACAUACAUCCUAAUGACAAUAAAUAUAUGGUAUGUCUGAAUAUAAAUAGCAAAUUAUGUAAUUUAAUUAUUUUUUAUUUAUUAUUAUACUUAAAAACAAGUAAGAAAGCUACAGUCGAAUAUUCUCGACUGUGAGAGAUAAAAACAAUAUAUUUUGCGGUAUUAUACUCAAAAUAUACAAAUUAUACUACAAAAAUACUUAAAAUAUACCAUAUAAUAUAUAUAUGGUAUAUCGAUAUAGCACCGCAUUCAAAAUAUACCAUAGGCGGCACAAUAUACCAGAUUGUCGUCCAAAGCAACUCAGACCCCUAGUAAGUAGGCGUUUUUCCCCAUACAAAAGAAUUUCUUUAAUAACUUCGACAAUUUUUAUCUGAUCGCAUUUUCAGGAAUCAUAACUACUCUAGUUAUUAUUGUAUACACCAAAAUUCGCAGCUCUAGCUUUAAAAUUACGCUUGUUAUUCGAUUUUAUUGAUUUGCGGGGGCGGAAGUGGGCGUGGCAAAAAUUUAAAAUAAACUUGAUCUGCGUGCAAACAUAACAAAUGCUGUCGAAUAAGAAGUAUAGCUCUAUCUCUUAUAGUCUCUGAGAUCUAGGUGUUCAUACGGACAGACCGUCAGACACACAGACGGACAUGUCUAGAUCGUCUCGGCUGUUGAUGCUGAUCAGAGAACGGCUUCGGGUGAAUGAAAAAAAUACAUACGCGCUCAACAGCCGAAUAAUCACACUGUUCGGAUCAGCCGAUCAAACUUGCAUGCGCUCACUUUUUCAUUGUAGAUUUUAAAUCCACUCGGGUGCGAGCGAUUUUUUGUUUCACUCCAAAUUAUUCGGCUCGUGUUCAGCAUAAUGAUUUCGGGCGCUACUCAUUCGGUUCAACAAUCAAUUUUUUGAACAAGAAUAGCAAUCAACUCACAAAAAUCAACUCGUAUGAUUUUACUCAUGCGCGCAGCAAACGGUACUUUUUCUGCACAGAUGAAAUGUGCGAAGACAAAAAAAACAAGCAACAACAACAAGCUUCAAGAAGCUCGCAUAGAAAUUGUUAUUGUACAUGCAUUCGUUAUGCUCACUUCGUGUCGUCUUGUCGCUAAUCGUUUACUCAUAAACGAUCAACUCGAAUUGAUCCGAAUGAUGCUUUCGUCAACACAUACUCAUUUUUUUGAUCGGAAUGAUGCGUACGGCAAAAUAAGUUGAUUUUCACUCAUCACUGUUUUUUAUUCAGUGAGUUGAGUUGAAUGAGAAAUUUUUAGCCGAAAACCCAAGAUGAUCGGAAUGAUGUGUACAGCAAAAUGAGUUGAUUUUUACUCAUCGCUGUGUUUUGUUCAGUGAGUUGAGUUGAUUGGAAAAGUUCGCGUAUGAUUAAAAUCAAGAAAAUAGUGAUUUUUGCAGUUCUCUGAUGCUGAUCAAGAAUAUAUAUACUUUAUAGGAUCGGAGAUGCCUUCUUCUACCUGUUACAUACAUUUCCUGUCGGCACAAAGUUAUAAUACCCUUCUACCCUAUGGGUAGCGGGUAUAAAAACUAAGAAAAAACAAAAGAAUAGGGAAUCUACUUCGACCUUGGUACUUUUCCUUUACGAUCCACUUGACUAUUCAUCUGCGUUUAUACUAUUUUUUGAGUAUAAUAAUAAAUAAAUAAUAAUUAAAUAACAUAAUUUGCUUUUUAUAUUCAGACAUACCAUUUAUUUAUUGUCAUUGAGAUGUAUGUAUGCAAUAUAUACUUGAUUUCAUUCUUGAUACUCAGAAAGAAACACACUUUUCAUAAUGAAUUCCAGGUCAUAUCCAAAAUAUUUAUGGUCCGACCCUUAUUAACACUGCGGAAACUAUUUUCCCAGUCGCCAGUAAUGCAACCGUUGCGGCAGUUACAGCCAAGGAUAUCGCACGGUCCACGUCCACAGAAGGUUCCCACCUGGGGUUUACCAUCGGCACAUAUUGUAAUAAUGCAUCCUUUUCCUCCACUGCGUCCGCCAACUUCACCACAGUGCCCACCACCGACAUUAUAAUUCAUAGAAGGGUUUUAUAACUUUGUGCCGGCAGGAAAUGUAUGUAACAGUUAGAAGGAGGCAUCUCCGACCCUAUAAGAGAUAGAGCUAUAAUUUUUUUCGACAGCAUUUGUUAUGUUUGCACGCUGAUCAAGUUUAUUUUAAAUUUUUGCCACGCCCACUUCCGCCCUCGGAAACCAAAAAAUCGAAUAACAAGCCUAAUUUUAAAGCUAGAGUUGCGAAUUUUGGUAUAUACAACAAUUACUAUAGUAUUUAUGAUUCCUGAAUUUGGUUGCGAUCAGAUAAUAAAUUGUGGAAGUUAUUAAAGAAAUACUUUUGUAUGGGCAAAAACGCCUACUUAGUAGGGGUCUCAGUUGCUUUGGCAGGCAAUCUGAAAUUGUGCCGUCUAUGGUAUAUUUUGAAUGGUGUAAUUUAUCGAUAUACCAAACAUACCAUUUGGUAUAUUUUUAGUAUUUUUAAGUAUUUUCGGUAUAUUUUGAAAAUGAUACCGCAAUAUUUUGCCUUUAUUAAAAGUGGGUAGCGGGUAUCUCACAGUCGAGCACACUCGACUGUAACUUUCUUACUUGUUUUUUCUAUUUUGUUGGUACAUUGUGUUAUUAUUAAUAAUGUAACGAGCUAUUUAAUAAUUUCAUAAGAAAUGAGACAUUCUUAUCAAUGUACAAUGUAGAUUCUAUGCAUUUGCAAUUCUCAGAGCACAGGUGAUAUGUGCAGAUGGCAAACUGUCGACUGUAUGUUUCUACAUUUCACCUCCAUUUAUCCCCCAUUGCUUAAAGAAACUAAAACAAAUUUGUGCAACAUUUUAGUUGCAUCUCGUGCAGUGUUUUUCGCUUCUUUAUUUUUCUUUUUUGUUUGCGAGUCAAAAGCUGGCUGCAACUGAAGGCAAUUUCGCAGCACUUUUUCUGGCGAUUCACAAGCAUAAAAAGCAUAACAUUUGAUGUGAUGGUUGUAUCUCUGGGUUUCUGUGUGUAUAGUCGCUGCACUUAUCCUUUCACUUGAUGCGCAUAAUGAAGAGCACUUUACGCUUAUAAAAGCAAUGGCUAAAAAAUGGUCUCAAAAUAAACAAGAACACAAACAAACAAACAAAUGAAAAAAGCACGCUCUGCAAGAGUCAGCUUAGCAAACGUAUACCCUGUAAAAGAAAUGCUUUAGAGGAGUGCAAUUAUAGAAUGUUCACCGUGUGUAUAUAAAGUAGUUACUACAUAUUUGUUUUCUAUACAAGUAUGGGAAACUAAAACCAAAAUUUUAUUACUGCUUCACUUGUAGAAUUAUCUUUCGAUAUUGCUGAUAUUUUCUAUGGAAAUUUUGUACUCUAUAUUUAAUUACCCGCUGCAUGCUAUUCAUAAUUAAAGGGUAUAAAAUGAAUCUCACAUUAAGGGACAGGGCCGCUUCUAGGCGUUUGGGGUGCCACAUUUACAUACUCAAGACUAUUCACAUACACACCCACACAGACGUACACACACAAACUCACACCCGGACAUGUCGCGUCAUGCGUGCAAAGGACACAACCAGUGACUGCAAAAACUGAAGGACCGCCCACAAUUCGCAGCGCCCGACUUUUGCUUCUAUUUGCACUGCCAGGCAGCCGCUGCAAAUGAAAUGCAAACAGCAGCAGCAGCAGAAACGACAACGUUGACGACGACGACGCCUUUCAAUUGACGGCCACGCCCUUUGACUGAAAUUUAGUUUUAAUUUCACUUUCACUUUCGCAGUCGUGACGUCCCCCGCCCCUCAGGCUCGAGCGCUUUUUGCUCAUUUAAUGCAUACGUGCGUUGGCCACAAGGACACUCGCAGGCACUUUUUUGGUUUUUGUAUUUUGAUGGGUUUAUGUAUUUACACCAACACAUAAAUCAUACAUGCAUGUGUCUGCGAGUGUGUGUGCUGGUGUGAGCAUAAGUGGCUUUAGCCAAGCGUGAUGGCUCCGCCUGCUCAUCUGUGUUCGCUUUAGUCCAAGUGAAACAGUAAACAGCUGCGAGAUAAAUUGCUCAUCUGCUCGACCUCGCCGCCCCUUGAGGGGUAAAGAGACACUGAGACAGCGAUAUAGACAGUUGGCGAGGGGGCAAGGGGAAAAAGGCUGAGAUAAAGCUCGCUUGGUUUCUUGCCCAACUGUGACGCUGUGUGUCAUCAGAGCGCGCCGAGCUGAAGUGUUAAGUACAUAAAACCCCCGCAUACAUUGCGUUUAUCCAUAAUGAUGACCUUACUUAUGACUUGAAUGCCAGCAAAUGUCCCACGCUGCGUAUACGUAAUGGCCAUAAAACACAAAAAAAUGGCGUCCCGCCACUUAAAAUGUUUCACCAAUCAAAUUGGAUACGUUGUGACAGCAACAAAACCAAACUUUAAUUUGGCAGCAUAAAUAUUGAUUGAAUUAGAAAUGAAUACAACGCGAGGUAAGGGGAGAGUGCGAUGAACUGAAAGUUUUGGCUUCGCAAUUAAAUUAUCAAACUAAUGACAUCACAAAUGAUUUGCUUAACUAAUUGUGCGACAAUUAAAACUUCAGCCCAAAGCUAAAUGAUAAUUGAGGUCAAUGUGCCGUUGAUUGUGUUGUGCUAAAUAAGAAAUAUUCAACUAUUCAACUCUUUAAAUUCCAGUUGCAUAAUAAUAAUGGAAAUAUGAAUUUGUUGCAAUGAAUGCUAAAUGCAAAUGGCAAAAUGCGUUGGCCUUUUGUCCAUAAUCUAUUUGCAUUUCGUUAACAGAUUGCGAUGGUUGUGUCCAGUGUCCAACCAAUGUUGGUUUUGCUGGCAUUCCAAAUGCCGCAUCUCUGCUUGGGUUUCAUCAUAAUUUGCUGUUACUAUUUCAGCAAUGCAGCUGCAAUUUCUCAUGCCCUUUGCCGGUCUGAUGGUCUGCUGAUGGUCUGCUGGGUCUGUUGGCCGUUCCAUCAUCAACUACUGACAUUGGGCGGAUGCCACACCAGGGAGCACUUUGCCACUCAAGUGCCAAACAAUUUCAAAAAUCAACACGAGCAGACACCAAGGGCAACGUUGCCCAAGUUAGAUGACAGGUAGACUACCAGACUACAACCUGGUUAGAGAAGGGGGAAUGGGGGAUAUCCAGGAAAAAGAGAAACAGAAGCCAAUCCAUUUAGAAGUCAUAAGGUAACCAGUCAGUACUUGUGCCCAAUGAGCUUUUGUUCGAUUAAUUAACUUGGCCAAGAAGUGACGGAUCGAGCCGAGCUCUAAUGAAUACCAAAUGAGGACAUCAGCUCAUAUGUUGAGAUGAGCUGCUGCUGUGUAAAAGUGUCACAAAUUUAUGGAGCGCCGACAGCCAAGCACAGAUGACAGAUUGCUGCGGAUGCGUUGGCCUGCUCAAGUGGCUUUCGGCUCAACUCUCAACUCUAGGCAAGGAUCUAUGUCCAUAUGUCGCCUGCCAGCGGCGACUCCGACUCCAGCUGCUCUUCCGUCUUCCUAUCUCGUUUAGUCAUUCGUGCUAAUGUAAAUUUUCUUAUGCUCGCCGCUGAUAAGUAAGAUCCGGGCAGGUGAGACGCUCUGGCUCUGGCUCGGAGCUUUCUCGUUUCAAUUUACAUACAACUUGCUUUCCCUUUUCAUUUUGUGUUUUUUUUGUUUGUGUGUUGCUAUAUAAAUGAUGUGUCAGUUUGCGUUGCCUGCUGCGUUUUUAUUUCCGACUCGCUUUCACUCAUUUUAUGCUUCAGCACCGCUGCUCACUUGACGACGACGCUUUGCCGGCUUUUGGUUUUGUGGUUUCGAAAAACCUGCCACCCAUUUGCUGCCUCCAUCCCCUGCUGCUGCUGUUCGGGCGGACAGGUAAGGCGAGGCGCCGCCUUGGAUUGGCGUGCGCGCGAGCGCAAAAACAGAUUACAGUUCAAGAACAUGUUUUGAUAAGCAGCAAUUUAAAACGUGAUGCUAUUUUUGGUUUACACGAAAGACGAAAUUCGUAAUACGUAUACGUAAUACGCCCCUAAAGCGAAGCGAAGGAAACUCCGCUGCCGAGCUUAACAAAAGGCUGCUUGCUUGCCAUGCUAUCGGGAAACGAGGAAACGGGAGAAGAGGUAGAGAGCGAAAGGCGACACCGAAGGCGGAGAAUAAUGAAGAUGGAAGGGGGGGGGAGAGAGUUCCCUGCUUGUAAUUUCAUUUGCUUGCAUAUUUAGUGGGCGAAUCUUUGGCGAGCUUCGCGGAUGCCAAAGCGUCUGAUGAGGUAUUCAGCGGCAGCUUUAAUGCAAUUUCCCAAUAAAAAAAGUGGAACAUUUUAAGACGCUGCUUAAUGAGAGAGUUAGGAAUUAUCAACUGAAAUGGAAAGUGAAGAAGCACUGAAGCAAAUUGGCGGGUUAAUAAUAAGUAUGCUUAAUUACUCACUCCAGAAAACUAAGAAAAAGACUUGAUUGUUGUAAAGAAAAUAGAAUCAUUUUGAAGAUAUUAUGAAUACAAUUCAAGGUAUAUUUAUAAUUAUCAAUUGGCAAUCAAAAAUCAGUUUUUGUUUGUGUCUAAAAUUAAACAAAUUUCGAAUGAAUUUGUGCUGUCUCAAGGACUUGUUAACUUUUUGUAUAGAAUUUGAAGACUUGUCAUUGUGAAUUCCUUGCCAGACAACUGAAGAAGCUAAGGCAUAUCUUUUAUGCUGCAAAAUUAUCAAUUGUCAGAGUCAAUAAUUGAGUUCAAUGGAAACAGACAUCAUAAUAGCAAUACAAUGUGACAAUAAAUAACAAUAAUAAUGAAUGAACAAGGCCCAAAUAGAAAUCUACGCUUAAUGCGCUCCCAAUGAACACAAAGUUAGAAUUGUUGAACAGCGCCCGGCCAAAAGAAGCAAACGAUAAAAAUGAAAUGAAUGCCAAUUUUUGAAAAAUUAAUUUACUGUCUCUGAGUUUUCUUCCACAUCGAUAUUCAAUGAAAAUUGCAACAGAGCCAACGAAGCAGCACUCACUCGCAACACAAAAAAAAAAAAAUGAAAAGAAAAAAUAUAUAUGAAAUGAAUGAAAGUACAUGAAACAAGUAAAAACACUUGAGCUGAGAGUGUAUCACAGGCAGAUACUCAGCGUAUAUAAAUACAAAAUGAUUGUUUAAUUAAUUUUUUAAUAAAUAUUAAGUACAGACUUUUUGAAUUUACUAAUAACACUUAGCUUAAAAGAAGAUUUACUAUAUGAAUGUAUUUUCUGCCAUUUUCUUUCUUAACUUGACUUAAGUUGAGACACUUCUCUCGCCAUUUUACAGGGUAUUUAAAUACAAGGGCAAACAUUUAGACGCAGGGCAACAAGAUGGCAGCAUAAGUCAACGUCGUUGCUUUUGCACUAAUGUGCUUUUGGUUUUGUUGUAUUUUUGUAGUAUUGUUGCUAUUGCUUUUGUUGUUCUUGUUGUUGUUGUUGUUGGAAGCAGCGACAAUCGAUUCUCAAGGCAUCAAUAAGAAUGGUAACGUUGAGGGAGCUGAAAAGUCCCUACAAUAACUUUUCAUUUGAAGGAUAAGCGCAAAGUGGCAGCAUUUCUGCUGCUGCUCAUUUUGCAGAGAUUGCUGAUGGCACAAGGCUGGCGGGGCAGCACAGGGGAGGGGUAGCUAAAGCUCAAUGGCAGGCGGAAGGCAGACAAGCAGCAUUUGUAAUAACUGUCAUAAGCGAAAUUGGUGUUAUCCUGUGCAAGGACAUCGCCAACGCCCCUUGCGGCGUGUGGCGAAAUGAACGAAAUUAAAUGACAUUUCUUCUUGCUGCUGUUGCUGCUGCUAUUGCUGUUGCUGGUAUUGUUGUCUUUUGUCGUGUGGAGAAAGAGGGGCUGGGGGAAGUUAGCGCAUUGAAUUUAGCACCCAAUAUAAAAAUCAACAAUGUGUGAGUAUGUUGUGUUUUGGUCUGUGCCAGGCUCUGGAUGUGAGAGUGAGGGUGUGUCAAAGCGCGCGAUAAGGAUAAGCUUUAAGCAUGAGCAUGUGGCAAAAAUUCUUAACGCCGAGAUUUCAUCUGGAAACAAGCUGCAAACUGCGCAAAUGAACAGACAGCGAGACAGACAGACAGACAGACCGAAAGAUGGAGGGCAAGCAACAUGCGAGUGAGCGAGGCUGCUGCCAUCUACGAAAGGACAACAAAACGCGACAGCCAAAGAGCCAAAUGUGGUGGCAGAGGCAAAAAUGAAAAGCAGAAUGUCAAGUAACGCCCCAUUAUGACUGUCAUAGAAAUGAAAAGUAAUUUUGAUUUAUUAAACGUUAACAAAACGCAGUACAGACACCGACAGCGACAACGACAGCUACAGAACUCACAGAGACAGACUUGGAGGUAAGGGGAAAUAAAACAACUCCACCUCGCAAACUUAUUCCACACAUUCGCAUAAAUGUUGUGUUUGCGACAUUUGCAAAAAAGGUUUUUUUCCUUUGGUUCGUGUAUAAGCCCAAGUGCUUAACCUUAGCCCUUUUACCCUUGCCCCUUGCUCUCCAUGUUCUCCACUUACUUUCCCUUGGCCCUUGUCAUAUAUCCAAAUCCAAGUCUAGCAUCACGUUCUCGCUUUUUGCUGUCGCUUCAUUUUGUUUUUACUUCCCUCGUCGUAGUUGUUGUUGGUUAUAAGAAACUCAUUCGCAUUGUCAACUUCGUUUUCAUCAGCAGACAGGCGGCCAGGAUGACAGGACACACUGAGUGGAAAAACUGACAGUCGCUUUAAGAUAAAAAUUUUUAUAACUACACGUCGUCAUCUUUCAGUUUUGCCAAGACCCAAGCCUAAAAUUGUGGCACGCCCCCUUUCUUGGGCCAUUUAUUUCCAGGCAGCAGGAGGGGAGAGAAAGACAGAUACGAACAUGAAAUGAGUUGGAGGCAAAGCAAGUGCUUCGAGUCCUUCUCAUGGCUUGUCAUAAAAAAAAAAACAAGAAUGAAAAAAGGAAACGAUAUCAGGAAAGUUUAACAUCUUGGCGGCCUUAUGACAUAUUGCUUAAAUGGGGCCCAUGUGGGAUAUUGAACCGUAGAAAAAUGUGUUGGUUGGGGAAGGUAGUUGUCGGAGGCUGCAUUAAAACAUAAUUGAUUUAGAGGGCACUUCAUUUAUGCAGCACAGUGUAAUUGACGAUAUCAAUUCCGCUGCAAUUCUGAUGCUCUAAACUGUCACUUUGCUAUCACAACAGCAAGCGAAAUAAUGAGCGCAACAACAAUGGGAACAGAACAGAAGAGGACAGGACAACAUGUGCUCGAAAAGGAAUUCAGUUUGUGAAUCGUUCGGUCCAAAACUCAUUGGACGAUAAACACAUGCGAUUAAAUGACCAAAUCGUUUAAUUAUAAGUUCACUUAAUGCCGAACAUAAAGCCAAAGGCUUUACAGACAACGAUUGCCGUUAAAACUCGACAAAGAGGGAGAUAGAGAGAGCACAAGGUGCGACUGACAGAAAGAGAGCGCUAGAGUGUGUGAGAAAGAUAGAGGAUAGGCACGCGCCUGAUUGCCUUUUGUAUCCGAGAGUUGGCGUCAUGGCAUCGUGAUGUGGCAUUUUGACAGUCACAAGGCAGAAGGCCGAUAGCAACAAUAUGUCAAUGCAAUUGCCAAUGCCAAUGAUAUGGCCAAAAUACAGAAAACCCGAGAAAGAGCGAGGAGUGCAAAGAUAGAGACAGCCAGAGGGAGAUAGAGAAAGAGAGAGAGAAAGAGGGGGAUAGAAAAUUGGAAGGCCGCUAAAGCCUCGAGCCGUGUUCCAGCUUUGGCCCGCAGCAAAACGAGGCAAACAGUCAAAAUUCAUUCGACAAGUCGACUUUUGGUAAAUUGCACUUGGCACUUGUCCCAGUUUGGCGCCAAACGUGCGCAGUCUUUGACGACUGCGUUUUUAAUUACAACAAAGCACUGGACAGCACCUAAACCUCGGACCAAUUAGGCCCUGAUCCGACUGACACAACUGCCAUCACCAUCAACGGGAGCCGCUUCAAAAUGCAAUGGCAAUCGACAUUGGUCGACUAUGCAAAGGAGUAAAGCACAACACAAAAAAAAGGAACUUGAAGAAAUUAUGGAAAAGACACGACUGAGAGAUAUCCUGCAAAACA